AACCAGGACAGAGGCUGCAGCACCCAGGGAGGAACGCCGUGGUCCCUGGGACGGCCACCAGGCCAGGAGGCUGCAGCACCAGGGAAUCUGUGCUCACGUCUUCCAGGACAGUGCUUCUUCUAGAAGCUGACAUGGAGCUGACCACAGCUCUUGGAGGCAUGGCCUGAGGCUUAGAAAAUAGACAGAGAUCAUCUGAGAUUUCAGCAGUGGGGCCACGUGGCAGCGCCCGAAGGCCUGGAGCAGGAGCGACCCAGGGACUCAGAGCAGCAUCUUCUUAGGAGACGGAAGGAGAGCCGCCGGAGGAGCACGGGGCACCUGCGAUCGCGAAGAGCCUCCUGUUCUGGAUGGGAGCGAAGGCUCCGAGAGGACCUAAGGUUGCUCAGUGGGCCAUGGAAACGGCAGUGAUUGGGGUGGUGGUGGUGCUGUUCGUGGUGACUGUGGCCAUCACCUGCGUCCUCUGCUGCUUCAGCUGUGACUCAAGGGCCCAGGAUCCUCAGGGGGGUCCUGGCCGCAGCUUCACGGUGGCCACGUUUCGCCAGGAAGCUUCUCUCUUCACGGGGCCUGUUCGCCAUGCCCAGCCAGUGCCAAGUGCCCAGGACUUCUGGACCUUCAUGUGACGCCCGAGUCCCCAGGAUUUGCUGUGCUGAUGGGUCAGACUCACCCGCUCCUCAGCAAGCCUUCCCUGGCCUUCCCCUCCUCCCAGGGCCUUCUCCCUGUCCUUCCCCUCCAGUAACCUGUGAACUUCCCGUCUCCUCCCAUUCCAGCCUUCUGUGCCCUCCAGCCUCAGGGAUCCUUGUUAUUGGGACAGCCCAGCUGGGGUUGACCCACAGGAUGGGGCUUAGGAGAGCUCUGAGGAGUGAGUGAACAGACAGCGCCGGAGUGCACGGUGGGCCGGCUCUGCUGAUCUACACCAGGAACUGAAAUAUCACUGGAAUUUAUUGUAAACGGUGUGCCUAUGAUGCUGGUUCUGUUGCCACCUGGGCACGCAGCACCCUCAAGUGGACAUUUCUAGAAACCGCUUCUUACUUGCUCCUAAUUGAUUACUUUUGCACAUUGCACAGAACCCAACCUCGAGGCCUGCUCCCUGCCAGUUGCCUGAAAUCAGCCCUGAAAUUCUGAAACCAAAGAGCUGCUUCCUGAGAACAAGUUAUUUACCUUAGAAUUGAAAAUGUAUAUCCUUUUAUGGGCCUUUCCAAAUCUGAUUAGAAAAACCACAAAAGGAAACAGAAGAGAAAAUAAGAGCCACAGAAAGUACAAUAUGUUUUAUUAACAGGAAAGCCAGAAAUAAGAUAUUUUAAACAUAUUUUUAAUGAGACUUUAUUGCUAUAUUCCAACAGGUCACUCCUAUUCUUAGAGAAUGUGAAUGACUUGUGUCACUUCGGAGUGACAGAAAAAUCAGGAACUGAAAGAUAAUUCCAGACAAGUUAAAAUGUUAUGUUACAUUCAAAGCUCUUGUUUUCAUCACAAAUAAGGGGAUAUUCAGUUUUUAUUAACAGAAAACCCAUUCUCCCAUGGCCAUGGAAUAAAUGCCAUGCUAUAUUUAAGGAGUUUGGUUUGAAGGGUGCAAAAUUGUGAGCCUCCUGGCUCUUAUGUCUGUAUCCAGCCCUGAAUA
rnacentral:lncRNA from 1 species